UACGUAGGGCGCAAGCGUUGUCCGGAAUUAUUGGGCGUAAAGAGCUCGUAGGCGGCCUGUUGCGUCCGCUGUGAAAUCCCGGGGCUCAACCCCGGGCCUGCAGUGGAUACGGGCUGGCUGGAGGCGGGCAGGGGAGAACGGAAUUCCUGGUGUAGCGGUGAAAUGCGCAGAUAUCAGGAGGAACACCGGUGGCGAAGGCGGUUCUCUGGGCCUGUUCUGACGCUGAGGAGCGAAAGCGUGGGGAGCGAACAGG
rnacentral:rRNA from 1 species